GACGAAGGUGGCGAGCGUUGUUCGGAAUCACUGGGCCUAAAGCGCACGUAGGCGGUGCCGUAAGUCGGAUGUGAAAUCCCUCGGCCUAACCGAGGAACUGCGUCCGAUACUGCGGUGCUUGAGGAUCAGAGGGGUGCAUGGAAUUUCCGGUGGAGCGGUGAAAUGCGUUGAUAUCGGAAGGAACUCCGGCGGCGAAAGCGAUGCACUGGCUGAUUUCUGACGCUGAGGUGCGAAAGCCAGGGGAGCAAACGGG
rnacentral:rRNA from 1 species